rnacentral:rRNA from 1 species
UGCAAGUCGAACGAUGAAGCCCUUCGGGGUGGAUUAGUGGCGAACGGGUGAGUAACACGUGGGCAAUCUGCCCUUCACUCUGGGACAAGCCCUGGAAACGGGGUCUAAUACCGGAUAACACUCUGUCCCGCAUGGGACGGGGUUGAAAGCUCCGGCGGUGAAGGAUGAGCCCGCGGCCUAUCAGCUUGUUGGUGGGGUGAUGGCCUACCAAGGCGACGACGGGUAGCCGGCCUGAGAGGGCGACCGGCCACACUGGGACUGAGACACGGCCCAGACUCCUACGGGAGGCAGCAGUGGGGAAUAUUGCACAAUGGGCGAAAGCCUGAUGCAGCGACGCCGCGUGAGGGAUGACGGCCUUCGGGUUGUAAACCUCUUUCAGCAGGGAAGAAGCGAAAGUGACGGUACCUGCAGAAGAAGCGCCGGCUAACUACGUGCCAGCAGCCGCGGUAAUACGUAGGGCGCAAGCGUUGUCCGGAAUUAUUGGGCGUAAAGAGCUCGUAGGCGGCUUGUCACGUCGGAUGUGAAAGCCCGGGGCUUAACCCCGGGUCUGCAUUCGAUACGGGCUAGCUAGAGUGUGGUAGGGGAGAUCGGAAUUCCUGGUGUAG